GCAAAGGCUCAUAAAUAUUUUGAUUGUUCUGUGUCUUUGCUGGGAUCUAAAUCCGAUACAACCCCAUCUAUAUCCGAAGAGCUGGAGCUCAUGCAAGCAGGGCUAGGAAAGAGGACCCUGUCCUUAACAUCAGAUACAACACAUGCCGAGUUAUCAAGUUUGCUGCGGGAAGCAUACUCAAAAAUGGUGGCUUCUUUUCAAAGCUGCAGGUGGGAAUGGAAGGAGAAGAAUAUCUGUAAUACCAUUGGAGGCAGAGGGGUAUACAGGAUCAGUGAUCAAAAGUGCUUCUAGUGGUGGGAAGAACUUGCUGUACGUCGUGCCGUUGCAGGAU